rnacentral:rRNA from 1 species
GACGAACGCUGGCGGCGUGCUUAACACAUGCAAGUCGAACGGAAAGGCCCUGCUUUUGUGGGGUGCUCGAGUGGCGAACGGGUGAGUAACACGUGAGUAACCUGCCCUUGACUUUGGGAUAACUUCAGGAAACUGGGGCUAAUACCGGAUAUGAGCUCCUGCUGCAUGGUGGGGGUUGGAAAGUUUCGGCGGUUGGGGAUGGACUCGCGGCUUAUCAGCUUGUUGGUGGGGUAGUGGCUUACCAAGGCUUUGACGGGUAGCCGGCCUGAGAGGGUGACCGGCCACAUUGGGACUGAGAUACGGCCCAAACUCCUGCGGGAGGCAGCAGUGGGAAAUGUUGCACAAUGGGCGGAAGCCUGAUGCAGCAACGCCGCGUGCGGAAUGACGGCCUUCGGGUUGUAAACCGCUUUCGCCUGUGACGAAGCGUGAGUGACGGUAAUGGGUAAAGAAGCACCGGCUAACUACGUG